rnacentral:antisense_RNA from 1 species
CUGAGAGAACGCCGGCUCCUGUGCUCUGCACUCGCCCAGGGCUGCCGUUCCGCUGGCUGACGCCCUGUCCCCACCCCAGCAUGUCCUGCCUCCAGGCUGCUUGACCCGGCUGGGCUGGGCACCUGUUCCCCACCCCUGCCCCAGUCUCCCGGGCCCCAUCCCAGCCUGGCCCGUCAUAACUGCCGGUCCCCAGAACUGUCCCUGGUGUGCAGCAGGCAUGCAGGGUGGGCCUGCAGAGCGAGGUCCCCAGUACCAGCGGCAUCUGGCGCUGAACACAGGAAGAUGGGACGUUUGCUGAAUGAAUGCACGUCCCUGAUGAGGACUGGACUUUGACAGAUGAAGGGGCUGGUGGGGUGGAGCCAGAGUCCUCCGAAAGCCCUGGGUGGAGAGGAUCCCCAAAGUGGGGUCAGAUAGCCUGUGAGGCUCACAGCCCUGCCCUGCAGCCCUUUGGUUUGGACCAGGUGCCACCUCCCCAUCUCCCUGGCCCCAGCCCUCAGCUAACCAGCCCAUCCCACCGCCUGAAAAUGGGUCAGAGGGCAGUGGCGACCUGCCCAAGUCCACACACAGGCCACAGGCCACACUCUCAACCCCGGGGCAGGCUCGGACGGGCUUUGCUCAGCCUGCCCUAGGGCACAGAGGGAGACUGAGUCAGGGCCCUCCCAGGAGGGAUGGGUGUGCGGCCUUCCAUGCUCGGGACUUUGGGCCACGAUGUCCACCCCAGGGUCUUCGCAGAGCAGCGGGAAAGGACCCUGCUGGCAGGCACAGUGCCCGUCUCUGCCCCCGGCUCUGCUCCAACCGCCCCCAACCCAAGGGCGGCACGCCGCAGGGGGUCUGUGAUUCCCCCCACCUCCCCGGCUUCUUUCACCCACACACCACACUAGGAGGCAGCAGCCCGAUGGCAGGUUUAUUGACAACCUCACGGGACACAAGCAGGCUGGGGACAGGACGGCGACAGGCUCAGGUGGCGGCGGCGGCGCUACCUGCGGUACCAGAUCUGCAGCCUCCGCUCCCUCUUGAUCUUCCUCUGCAGCUGCAGGAUGCCGUACAGCAGGGCCUCGGCCGUGGGUGGGCAGCCUGCAGGGACCUUGCCUCAGUCUCCCUUCUCGCAGCCAGAGCCUGCAUGACCGCGUGCACAGCGCAGCCGGCUCGGCUUUUGAGGGGUCUCCCGUGCCGGCCUCUGAAGGUGGAGGCUGACAGCCCUGGGUGGGCGCAGAGGUCAGGGUUUGGGAGCCGGCGCAGGGGAGGUCCCUGCAGGAAGAGUGGGGUCCUCCCCUGGGCAAGGCCCCACUGCCCUCCACCCAUGGCUCAUCCCGGGCUGUCACAGGAACCUCUUGGACAAGACGCUGACCUCACUAACCCGGCCCCGGCCCUAGCCCUCAGGACUCCAUGGGGGCCAGCGCUCACCAGACACACUUAGCAGUGGGGAGCAGGACCCGGGGCUGCACUGGACGGAGAUGGAGGCAGGGAGGCUGGGCGGAGGGAGGGGAGGUGGCCCAGAGCCCAGGCAUCCCACGAGGACCCGAUGACCCCCUUUCUGAGCUCCAAGCCAGAGGUCUUUGCUGGGGAUCCCCUAGCCCCAGCUGCCAGGCAGGCUCAUAGCAAAGGGCUUGAGCAAGAGGACGAAGCCCAGGGCCCAACGGGGACAGCAGGAGUGGAAACAGGGGAAGACACCAGGGGCAUGGGCUAAGCUCUUGACCCCGGGAUGGACCUCUCUGCGCUGAUGAGGGUCACGGGGAGGCCCAGGCUGCUCUGUCCACUGCCCCCAGGUGACCUGAACCAUGCAGAACGCUGAACAAAUCAACGCCCUUUCCAGGGAAGUGGAAUCCAAAGUCAGAGCCUGUUCCUCCACUUUUGAGAGGCGCCAGGAUGUGCCUCCUGCUUGCCCAACCCCCCAGACUCGGGACUCAGGGCUGGGCUCUCUGCGCAUGCGCUACUGCCGCAGCACAAGGUGGCCAAGAACAGGACCUCUGUCCCCUGUCCCACAUGAGCGCCACCUCCAAGCCUGCCUACCGUGGACCAUUGUCAAGGCGAGCGCUCCGGGGGGGGUGGCCCUCGUGGGACCACGUGAGGCGCAAGAGUCCCACGGGAUCACCAGAUAUAAAGAAUGUUCCCCGUGCGACGUGAAUUUCAGGCAGGACCAUAUGAAACUGCUGUAAACCAGGCGAGUGUCAGGAAUUCCACUCCGCCUCCCCUCCUCCCUCUGAUCCCUCUGAUGCCUGAAUACAUCGCUGACUUCUCAUAGGGGACACGCUCCACUAAGAGGGAGAGCCCCGAGUCGGCCCAUCCACAGGAUGGGGGAGCCCGCCGUCUGCUUGGGGUGUGGGACUCCCUCACAGGGGCCGCCGGGCUCCGUGUGGCGCUGGCCCUGUCCCCAGCUCCCUCGUGGGCGGUGCGGUCCCGGCCCUACCUGGGAUGUAGAUGUCCACAGGCACGAUGCGGUCGCAGCCCCUCACCACCGAGUAUGAGUAGUGGUAGUAGCCUCCUCCGUUGGCGCAGCUGUGGGGAAGGCGCGGGGAGGGGAGUGUGCCGAGGACCCGCCUGCCCACCCUCCCUCCUCGCAGCUGUGGGGGAGGCGCCGGGAGGGGAGUGUGCCGAGGACCCGCCUGCCCACCCUCCCUCCUCGCAGCUGUGGGGGAGGCGCCGUGAGGAGCACCUGUCGAGGACCCGCCCUGUCCACCCUCCCUCCACGAGGCCUCGCCCCAUCCCCACCCGCCUUCAACUGCACGCCGGGCACCUACGAGGCUGGAACUUGUCACGGAGAAGCAAUGAGCAAACACAUACAGGCUCCCAGAGCCUCUGUGGGACCCGUGGGGCACAAGCACACGCGUGGCUGAUAACUCGGGGAAAAGUGCUCCCCUCCCAAGGGGGCUCCUGACCAUGGAUUCCUGGGGCUGGGAAGUGUCAGAUCACAUGUGUCAACAAAAAGCCACUUCAAACAGCCACAGUGCCGACACCUAGCCCGUCUAUGGGGUGGCUGAGCCUCACACGAGGCCCUCGCCCGAUUCCGGCUCUGUCAGUGAGGUGCUGGGGUCCACCCGGGGCAGGUAGCUGGAAACCCCAGGCGACCACACAGUCUCCACUCCCAGCACUGCUUCCUGCAGCCGUAAAAAUGGACAUAACCUGAAUGCCCAGCAGUGGGAGACGGUUAUGAAAACUCUGGAAUAUUCUAAUUAACUGUUUAGAAUUAGAUUAGUAAUAUGUCCACACAGUGGGAUAUUACUCAGCCAAGAAAAGGAGCGAGGCUCGGACACAGGCCACAGCGUGGAUGCACCUUGAGGAUAUCACGCUCAGUGAGAGACGCCAGACAUAGAAGGUCACACAGUGUGUGAUCCUGUUUCUGUGAAAUGUCCAGGACGGGCCCAUCCACAGAGACAGGGAAGGGAGGUGUGGGCACCGGGGGCUCGGAAGGGGAUGCAGAGUGACUGCUGAUGGGGACAGCGUUUCAUUUGGGGGUGAUGAGAAUGUUCUGGAAUUAGAGGUGGUGGCCUAAAAACCACUGAACUGCUCGCUUUAAAAGGGUAAACUUAGCAACACCCAAUCUCUACAAAAAUUUUAAAAAUUAGGCACAGUGGAGCACAUCUGUAAUCCCAGCACUUUGGGAGGCUAAGGUUGGGGGAUCGCUUGAGCCCAGGAGGUCAAGGCUGCAGUGAGCUAUGACUGCACCACUGCACUCCAGCCUGAGCAACUCACUGAGACUCUGUCUCU